rnacentral:rRNA from 1 species
AUGGUAUUGUCUCAUGUACGAUCACUCAAUGUGUUCGGUUAUUCCAUGGAAAUCCCUCCUCUGAGUGAGUUUGGGCAUUUGCGUGUUUUGGACCUUGAGCUUUGCAACCAAGUGGAAAACCACCAUCUAGCAAAUAUUGGGAGGUUGUUUCAGUUGAGGCAUCUCAACCUCAAAUGGACAGAAGUAAGUGAACUCCCAAAAGAAAUCAGCCAUCUACGUUGCUUAGAGAUGCUAGACAUAAGAGGCACUCAAUUACAAGAUUUACCAUCAACUAUUGUGAACCUCGAAAGAUUGGUGGAUGUGCUUCAUGAAAGUAGUGUUAAGUUUCCAAAUGGAAUUGAGAAGAUGCAAGCAUUAGAGAUGUUGGGAGAGGUCAAUGUCUAUAGGCAGCCAUUUAACUUCCCUCAAGAACUUGGACAGCUGCAGAACCUGAGGAAGCUGGUCCUCAAUUUUGAAGGUGCUUCCAUCUCUGUACAGGAACAUGAAGAGGAACAGUGCAAUAAAUCUAUUGCUUCUGCUCUUCGCAAACUAGGCACUCAAAACAUUCGUUCUCUAACUACUGUUUGUGGGGGGCGCUUCUUACAACAGGGAUCUUUGUGCCCUGUUCCGUUUAGCCUCCAGGAAUUCAUUAUGACCAAGGGCUCGCAUGUGGAGCAGGUUCCGGAAUGGGUGAGUUCCCUUCUAAACCUCCAGCUGUUGCGCCUAGAAGUGAACAAAUUCACGCAGGAAGAUCUACGGGUCCUUGGAAGCUUACCGGAGUUGCUCAUUCUGGAAGUGGUCGGAAUGGGAAAGUAUAGCGAUACAAGUUUCACAGUUAGCGAUAAAGUUGGGUUCCGAUGCUUGAGGAAGUUCUCUUUGGAAUCAUGUAAAUGGAUGUUUUUUGAAGCAAGAUCCAUGCCUAAGCUAGAAAAACUCGAAAUUGGAAUUUGGAGGUCCGGUUAUGACACUGCUAGUGGAAUUUGGAGGCCCGGUUACUGGAAAUUCGGAAUGGGAAAUCUCCCGUGCCUCCUUAGUCUCAAAUUUGCAACAUAUGGCUGGGACUGGGAUGAUGGCAGUCUUGCAGCUGCACAGGAUGCUAUGGAGAGAGCAGCUGGUAGACAUCCCAACCGGCCUACUCUCAUCUUUCAAAAAAUCUGCUGA